CAGAGGUGAAUGAGAAACAGUAUAAAAACCUCUCACCAUGAAGGCCUAACAUGCACCGCACAGAGUAAGCUUUGAAACUCUGAUCGGAGCCCAAAUUCGCUCAACUCUGGAGCCACCGUUUUCCAAAUCAUUCACAAAACACAGAGAGCUUUCUCUACUCAAUUGCCCGCUACGCUUUGUUCGUGUGCCUCCAGGUUGGGCCUUUACCUGAUUCUCCUUGUCCUUUCUGUUUAUCUGAAUCAAUGUAGUUUUGAAUUAUGUUAUUGUGUUUGGGUUUUCCGU
rnacentral:lncRNA from 1 species